GCCGAGGUAGCUCAGGGGUAGAGCAGCUGAUUCGUAAUCAGCAGGUCGUGGGUUCAAAUCCCAUUCUCGGCUC
rnacentral:tRNA from 2 species